AGUGAACGCUGGCGGCAGGCCUAACACAUGCAAGUCGAGCGGCAGCGCGUCCGACCACCCUCGGGUGGUCGGAUGGCGGCGAGCGGCGGACGGGUGAGGAAUGCAUCGGAAUCUGCCCCGUUGUGGGGGAUAACGUAGGGAAACUUACGCUAAUACCGCAUGCGACCUACGGGUGAAAGUGGGGGACCUUCGGGCCUCACGCGAUGAGAUGAGCCGAUGCCGGAUUAGCUAGUUGGCGGGGUAAAGGCCCACCAAGGCGACGAUCCGUAGCUGGUCUGAGAGGAUGAUCAGCCACACUGGAACUGAGACACGGUCCAGACUCCUACGGGAGGCAGCAGUGGGGAAUAUUGGACAAUGGGGGCAACCCUGAUCCAGCCAUGCCGCGUGUGUGAAGAAGGCC
rnacentral:rRNA from 1 species